UGUUAAGAUACUUUGUUAAGACAAUAUGGUCACACAGAUGAGUAUGUGUUACGUUACUUUUAAAUGGAUACACGAGCUCGUGUACUAAACAUUACUGUAGUCUAGCUGAUCUGAGACCAGUAGCCUACAGUAACUUGGCCAUAUUCCUUCCUGAAACCCACAUAGCAACACCUACAUCGCGCACAUAGCAUUCACUGUCACAAAUGCCCGUCAGCAAUUGUUAUAGGCAAUUAUACUUAGCUACUUGCUAUACUUUUCUCAACUUCACUAUGUCGAAAAACUAGCUAGACUGGAUAGCACUAGCCAGCAACAUGGAAAUUAACGGGAAUGGAGAUGCCGUAGUGGUUGGAAGAGAGAUGACCAGCAAGAUUGGUUGCAGAACAAAGCCCACCCUUGGUCAAGUCUGGAGUCUGAUGACAAGCUGCCUGAGUCUGAUGACCACAGCACUGAUGGCACCUGAAAGGCUUUGUGGAAAAUGAAUGGUUUCUUUGUGUCCAAUCACUUGCAUAAAUGGACAAUAAUAGUG